GUUCAGUUCAUUAAAAAUUGAAAAAGAAGAUCUAAAAUACAUGCUAAAAUUUAAAAUACAUAAAUAAUGUAUCAUGAGGUAGAAUUACAUAAGAAACUUCUUUUGGACUGCAUUUCUAUAUAUAGUUGGAUAAAUAUUAAUUGCAAAAUACCUCUUCAUUAUCAUCCAAUGAUAAAUUAUCCAUUUGCACUUUUGGAUAUUCUAAGAUUAAAAAAAUACGCAAGCAUGUAACUCAGCAUACAAAUAUACUAUUUAUAAAAUUUGAAAAUUGUGACAAUAAAAUGUCAUGCAUCAUUUAAAGAUGUAGUUUUUUUUCAAGUAUCAAAUUCAAACAUAUAUAUAUAUAUAUAUAUAUAUACAAUUUUCUACUUCUGUAUUUGGUACAACUAUAAAAAUUUACAAAAAUUAAAUUCACAUUUAAUUAUAAACGUAAUCAAACAUCACAUUUAUAAUAAUAUUUUUUUUUUCAAAAAUUAUGUUACUGAAUUAUGUUCACUGUAAAUACAAUGCUAUCUAGUUGAAUUAAAUUAAUUUGUAUGUUAAUUUUUAUUAAGCAUUUGUUGUUUUUCAAAGACUAAAACAAAUUAAUUUUAGAAUAACAAAA
rnacentral:lncRNA from 1 species